GCAAACUUGGUCAUUUAGAGGAAGUAAAAGUCGUAACAAGGUUUCCGUAGGUGAACCUGCGGAAGGAUCAUUAUAGAGCCCUGCCCUCACGGGUAGACCUCCAACCCUUUGUAUAUUAUACCUCUGUUGCUUCGGCAGGCCGCCUAAGGUCUCGGCCUAGCUAUGGGCGCCAGCUCAUAAGUGCCUGCCAGAAGACCAGUAAACUCUGAAUUGUAUGUCGUCUGAGUAAAAUUUUAAUAAGUUAAAACUUUCAACAACGGAUCUCUUGGUUCUGGCAUCGAUGAAGAACGCAGC
rnacentral:misc_RNA from 1 species